CCAUGGGGAUGGAUAGGCAUGCUAGUUCGCGUCUCCCAGCCACGGAAGAGACGCAGCGAACGGCUCAGUAACACGUGGUCAACCUACCCUUUGGACGGAGAUAACCCCGGGAAACUGGGGACAACAACCGAUAGGUGAGAAGGCCUGGAACGGUUUCUCGCCUAAAAGACGCCGGGACCAUGCUUCCUGCGUCGCCGUAGGAUGGGACUGCGGCCUAUCAGUUUGUUGGUGAGGUAAUGGCCCACCAAGACUAUUACAGGUACGGGCUCUGAGAGGAGUAGCCCGGAGAUGGGUACUGAGACACGGACCCAGGCCCUAUGGGGCGCAGCAGGCGAGAAAACUUUGCAAUGUGCGAAAGCACGACAAGGUUAAUCCGAGUGGUUUCUGCUAAAGGAACCUUUUGUCAGUCCUAGAAACACUGAUGAAUAAGGGGUGGGCAAGUUCUGGUGUCAGCCGCCGCGGUAAAACCAGCACCUCAAGUGGUCAGGAUGAUUAUUGGGCCUAAAGCAUCCGUAGCCGGCUCUGUAAGUUUUCGGUUAAAUCUGUACGCUCAACGUACAGGCUGCCGGGAAUACUGUAGAGCUAGGGAGUGGGAGAGGUAGACGGUACUCGGUAGGAAGGGGUAAAAUCCUUUGAUCUAUUGAUGACCACCUGUGGCGAAGGCGGUCUACCAGAACACGUCCGACGGUGAGGGAUGAAAGCUGGGGGAGCAAACCGGAUUAGAUACCCGGGUAGUCCCAGCUGUAAACUAUGCAAACUCAGUGAUGCAUUGGCUUGUGGCCAAUGCAGUGCUGCAGGGAAGCCGUUAAGUUUGCCGCCUGGGAAGUACGUACGCAAGUAUGAAACUUAAAGGAAUUGGCGGGGGAGCACCACAAGGGGUGAAGCCUGCGGUUCAAUUGGAGUCAACGCCGGG
rnacentral:rRNA from 1 species